rnacentral:rRNA from 1 species
GACGAACCGUGCGAACGUUGUUCGGAAUCACUGGGCAUAAAGGGCGCGUAGGCGGCUUAUCAAGUCAGGGGUGAAAUCCGGCAGCUCAACUGUCGAAGUGCCUUUGAUACUGAUGAGCUCGAGGGAGGUAGGGGUGUGCGGAACUUCCGGUGGAGCGGUGAAAUGCGUUGAUAUCGGAAGGAACGCCGGUGGCGAAAGCGGCGCACUGGACCUCUUCUGACGCUGAGGCGCGAAAGCCAGGGGAGCAAACGGG